rnacentral:rRNA from 1 species
GAUCUGGCUCAGGACGAACGCUGGCGGCGUGCUUAACACAUGCAAGUCGAACGAAGAGCGAUGGAAGCUUGCUUCUAUCAAUCUUAGUGGCGAACGGGUGAGUAACGCGUAAUCAACCUGCCCUUCAGAGGGGGACAACAGUUGGAAACGACUGCUAAUACCGCAUACGAUCCAACCUCGGCAUCGAGGAUGGAUGAAAGGUGGCCUCUAUUUAUAAGCUAUCACUGAAGGAGGGGA